GCGCCAUCACGGGGGCUGCAGAGAGCAUCACCGCCGAGGAAAUCAACAAGCCACCAGAUCAGACCAGUGACCUACACGGCGGCUCACACGCCAAUACGCCAAAUCCUGCCGCAGAACACCAUAGAAACCAAAACCUUCUCCUCCAUGUCGCACCAAUUAUCUCCAAAUUUAGGCGUGCAAGCCCCUAACUCAGCAAGGGCUCGAAAGUGACAGCCCCCCAAACCCCAAAUUCUGCAGCCCGGGGACUGGAAAAGGCUCAAAAUCCCCUCAACGAUCUCUCAAAAUUCCCACUCUCCCAGCCCCGAAUUAGCACUAAUUGGACGCACCGAGAACAAAUUUCGGCGACGCCCCGAAUCAAGGGACAGGGUUAAAAACCCAAACUUUGCGCGAUUUUUGAAGGGGAAAAGAACCGGGCCAAGCUUGGAAUCACCAAGGAGACUGCAAAAGCUGCAAUCUUUGGCGAAAGAAAAGGCAAAAGAAACCCGAAACAAAAAGCAAAGCCUGCCGAAUCAAAGGCCCGGAACACUAGCAGCACGAGGAGGCGCAGAAAUCAUCAAAGGAGAAAACAACGCAUCAAAACGGAGCACUAC
rnacentral:lncRNA from 1 species